GACGAACGCUGGCGGCGUGCCUAAUACAUGCAAGUCGAACGCAGUGGGGACGGGUGAGUAACACGUGGGUAACCUCCCAUCAGAGGGGAUCACACUUGGAAACAGGUGCUAAACCGAUACUGAUGGAUGAAUCUGCGGUGCAUUAGCUGGUUGGUGAGGUAACGGCUUACCAAGGCUACGAUGCAUAGCCGACUGAAGGGGGUGAUCGGCCACACUAGAACUGAGACACGGCCCAGACUCCUACGGGAGGCAGCAGUGGGAAGUAUUCCACAAUGGACCAAAGUCUGACCUAUCAACGCCGCUUGAGUGAGGAAGGUUUUCGGGUCGUAAAACUCUGUUGUUAGAGAGACGGUGUCUAUCCAGAUAGCCACGGCUAACUACGUGCCAGCAGCCGCGGUAAUAC
rnacentral:rRNA from 1 species